UACGUAGGUGGCAAGCGUUGUCCGGAUUUACUGGGCGUAAAGAGCGCGCAGGCGGUCGUUCAAGUCGAGUGUGAAAGCCCCCGGCUCAACUGGGGAGGGUCACUCGAUACUGAUCGACUCGAAGGCAGAAGAGGGAAGCGGAAUUCCCGGUGUAGUGGUGAAAUGCGUAGAUAUCGGGAGGAACACCAGUGGCGAAGGCGGCUUUCUGGUCUGCUCUUGACGCUGAGGCGCGGAAGCUAGGGUAGCAAACGGG
rnacentral:rRNA from 1 species